AUGGCUGUUGAGCUGAAAGAUGCCGUCGACCGUUAUGAGCUUCUUGAAAAGGAAAGCCAAAUGAAGACGGCGGACCUGGAGAAAGCCACGGUAGCAGCCAAGGAAGCCCGCUCUAAAAUCAGAGCGGAGAAGGAGGAGCUACGUCAAGCCGGAGAUAUCGCGGCUCGGAAGCCCUUUUUGUUACGGACAAAGUUCGGAGAUCCUAAGUAUGCCCUUCUGGAUCAAUUAUGGAGUUCUGCGAACGCGUACCUGGAUUUGGCAGCAAGUGCUGCUGAUGCGACCAAGUUUUUCGAAGAUCAAAAAGAUCACGAAGUGGAAAAGUUGUUCUGGUCGCAGUUUAAUGCUCCGGCGCGUCCGCUGCUGUUAAAUGAGCAAAUGGCCGAGUGGGCCGAGCUCCAUAGGUUGUCCGGUCUUGCCAUGAGGUCUGUUGUGGAUCAUCUUUGGCCGGAAGGACCAAGGCUGAAUAGUUAUUUUGGCUUAGUGCAACGGUUCCUUGGUGCUGUGCCGCAUAUCGACGCUGUGAAGAGGUCGGCGUGCAUAGAGGGUGCGCGGAUGGCUCUUGCCCGUGUGAAGACAUACUGGGCAGAGAUGGAGGCCACCGCUAUUGCAACCCAGAGUUCGGCCGUAGGCCGGAUAUCGGCUGAGAACUAUUUUGAAGAAGUCUUAGAAGGCGCUCGUUUAAUAGAGGCUCAGUGCUCGAAGAGUAUCAUGUUCUAG
rnacentral:rRNA from 1 species